rnacentral:rRNA from 1 species
CAGUCGCCGCGGUAAUACGUAGGGUGCAAGCGUUAAUCGGAAUUACUGGGCGUAAAGCGUGCGCAGGCGGUUAUAUAAGACAGAUGUGAAAUCCCCGGGCUCAACCUGGGAACUGCAUUUGUGACUGUAUAGCUAGAGUACGGCAGAGGGGGAUGGAAUUCCGCGUGUAGCAGUGAAAUGCGUAGAUAUGCGGAGGAACACCGAUGGCGAAGGCAAUCCCCUGGGCCUGUACUGACGCUCAUGCACAAAAGCGUGGGGAGCAAACAGGAUUAGAUACCCCGGUAGUCCCUGUCUCUUAUAC